AGAGUUUGAUCCUGGCUCAGGAUGAACGCUGGCGGCGUGCCUAAUACAUGUAAGUCGAACGGGGAGUAUUGGCUUCGGUUGAUACUCCGAGUGGCGAACGGGUGAGUAACGCGUUGGUGACCUGCCCCGAAGGCGGGGAUAACAGCUCGAAAGGGCUGCUAAUACCCGAUGAUCUCUCUAAGGCCAGAGGCUUAGAGAGGAAAGCAGCGAUGCGCUUUGGGAGGGGCCUGCGUCCCAUCAGCUAGUUGGUAAGGUAAAGGCUUACCAAGGCGAAGACGGGUAGGGGACCUGAGAGGGUGACCCCCCACACUGGCACUGAAACACGGGCCAGACACCUACGGGUGGCAGCAGUAGGGAAUAUUGCACAAUGGGCGAAAGCCUGAUGCAGCAACGCCGCGUGCGCGACGAAGGCCCUCGGGUCGUAAAGCGCUUUUCGGGGAGACGAGGAAGGACGGUAUCCCCGGAAUAAGGCUCGGCUAACUACGUGCCAGCAGCCGCGGUAAAACGUAGGAGCCAAGCGUUAUCCGAAUUCACUGGGCGUAAAGCGCGUGCAGGCGGCCCGGUAAGUUGGAUGUGAAAGCUCCUGGCUCAACUGGGAGAGGACGUUCAAUACUGUCAGGCUCGAGGGCAGCAGAGGGAGGUGGAAUUCCCGGUGUAGUGGUGAAAUGCGUAGAUAUCGGGAGGAACACCAGUGGCGAAGGCGACCUCCUGGGCUGCACCUGACGCUCAGAUGCGAAAGCUAGGGGAGCGAACGGGAUUAGAAACCCCGGUAGUCCUAGCCGUAAACGAUGUAGACUGGGUGUUGGUGGGUUAAAAGCCAUCGGUGCCGAAGCAAACGCGAUAAGUCUACCGCCUGGGGACUACGGCCGCAAGGUUAAAACUCAAA
rnacentral:rRNA from 1 species